rnacentral:rRNA from 1 species
GAUGAACGCUAGCUACAGGCCUAACACAUGCAAGUCGAGGGACCGGCGCACGGAUGAGUAACACGCAUCCAACAUGCCCUUUACUCGGGGAUAGCCUCUCGAAAGAAAGAUUAAUACCCGAUAUAAAGGAUGGGGUUUCGUUCCAUUAGGUUGUUGGUGAGGUAAAGGCUAACCAAGCCUUCGAUGGAUAGUGGUUCUGAGAGGAAUGGCCCUCGCAUUGGAACGGGGCCCCGUUCCAAACUGCUACAGGAGGCAGCAGUGAGUAAUAAUGGACAAUGGGCGCUAGCCUGAACCAGCCAAAUAGCGUAGAGGAUGAAGGCUUAUGAGUCGUAAACUUCUUUUAUAUAAGAAUAUGUAUUAAAUGAAUAAGGAUCGGCUAACUCCGUGCCAGCCGCAGCGGUAAUAC